rnacentral:rRNA from 1 species
AUUGAACGCUGGCGGCAGGCCUAACACAUGCAAGUCGAGCGGCAGCGGGAAAGUAGCUUGCUACUUUUGCCGGCGAGCGGCGGACGGGUGAGUAAUGCCUGGGAAAUUGCCCAGUCGAGGGGGAUAACAGUUGGAAACGACUGCUAAUACCGCAUACGCCCUCCGGGGGAAAGCAGGGGACCUUCGGGCCUUGCGCGAUUGGAUAUGCCCAGGUGGGAUUAGCUAGUUGGUGAGGUAAUGGAUCACCAAGGCGACGAUCCCUAGCUGGUCUGAGAGGAUGAUCAGCCACACUGGAACUGAGACACGGUCCAGACUCCUACGGGAGGCAGCAGUGGGGAAUAUUGCACAAUGGGGGAAACCCUGAUGCAGCCAUGCCGCGUGUGUGAAGAAGGCCUUCGGGUUGUAAAGCACUUUCAGCGAGGAGGAAAGGUUGAUGCCUAAUACGUAUCAACUGUGACGUUACUCGCAGAAGAAGCACCGGCUAACUCCGUGCCAGCCGCCGCCGUAAUAC